GGGCGUGUAGCUCAGUUGGUUAGAGCAUCUCGUUUACACCGAGAGGGUCCGCGGUUCGAAUCCGUGCACGCCCACCA
rnacentral:tRNA from 4 species